rnacentral:miRNA from 1 species
CUCACCAAAGACAGUGGAAAAACAACCACGACGCAUACUGCAGCGGAUCCGCGGCCCUGCAGUCGUCGUGGUUGUUUUUCCACUGUCUUU